rnacentral:piRNA from 1 species
GAGCAUUAUUUAUGGACCUGA